GGAUGUGAGGGCAAUCUGGCUGCGACAUCUGUCACCCAUUGCUCUCCAGGGUUGAUUCUGCUGAUCUGGCUGGGCCUUCCUCGAGUAGACGGACUGGUCUUCGGUCGAGGGUAUAUGAGUAGCUGCGCUCCCCUACUAGAACCUCCAAACAAAGUCUCAAGGAUAUUAUAUCAUCUUUAUAAUUCUACAAAAGGAAAAAAUCCCCAUGCUUUGAUAAAGGUAUGAAUUCACUUCAUGAAUGAGCAGCUUUUUGACAGAAGUAGGAGUUAUUUU
rnacentral:snRNA from 1 species